rnacentral:rRNA from 1 species
CCUACGGGGCGCAGCAGUGAGGAAUAUUGGUCAAUGGACGAGAGUCUGAACCAGCCAAGUAGCGUGAAGGAUGACUGCCCUAUGGGUUGUAAACUUCUUUUAUAUGGGAAUAAAAUGUUCCACGUGUGGGAUUUUGUAUGUACCAUAUGAAUAAGGAUCGGCUAACUCCGUGCCAGCAGCCGCGGUAAUACGGAGGAUCCGAGCGUUAUCCGGAUUUAUUGGGUUUAAAGGGAGCGUAGGUGGAUUGUUAAGUCAGUUGUGAAAGUUUGCGGCUCAACCGUAAAAUUGCAGUUGAAACUGGCAGUCUUGAGUACAGUAGAGGUGGGCGGAAUGCGUGGUGUAGCGGUGAAAUGCUUAGAUAUCACGAAGAACUCCGAUUGCGAAGGCAGUUCACUGGACUGCAACUGACACUGAGGCUCGAAAGUGUGGGUAUCAAACAGGAUUAGAUACCCGAGUAGUC